rnacentral:rRNA from 1 species
UCCAGACUCCUACGGGAGGCAGCAGUGGGGAAUAUUGGUCAAUGGGCGGGAGCCUGAACCAGCCAAGUCGCGUGAGGGAAGACGGUCCUAUGGAUUGUAAACCUCUUUUGUCGGGGAGCAAAGAGGCCACGUGUGGUCAAAAGCGAGAGUACCCGAAGAAAAAGCAUCGGCUAACUCCGUGCCAGCAGCCGCGGUAAUACGGAGGAUGCGAGCGUUAUCCGGAUUUAUUGGGUUUAAAGGGUGCGUAGGCGGGACGGUAAGUCAGCGGUAAAAAUGCGGAGCUCAACUCCGGCGAGCCGUUGAAACUGCCGUUCUUGAGUGAGCGAGAAGUAUGCGGAAUGCGUGGCGUAGCGGUGAAAUGCAUAGAUAUCACGAAGAACUCCGAUUGCGAAGGCAGCCUACUAAACUGCCACUGACAUUGAUGCUCGAAAGUGUGGGUAUCAAACAGGAUUAGAUACCCUCGUAACC